CUGAAUAGUGUCUACAUCAUCGGU
rnacentral:siRNA from 1 species